GACGAACGCUGGCGGCGUGCUUAACACAUGCAAGUCGAACGGAAAGGCCCUGCUUUUGUGGGGUGCUCGAGUGGCGAACGGGUGAGUAACACGUGAGUAACCUGCCCUUGACUUUGGGAUAACUUCAGGAAGCUGGGGCUAAUACCGGAUAGGAGCUCCUGCUGCAUGGUGGGGGUUGGAAAGUUUCGGCGGUUGGGGAUGGACUCGCGGCUUAUCAGCUUGUUGGUGGGGUAGUGGCUUACCAAGGCUUUGACGGGUAGCCGGCCAGAGAGGGUGACCGGCCACAUUGGGACUGAGAUACGGCCCAGACUCCUACGGGAGGCAGCAGUGGGGAAUAUUGCACAAUGGGCGGAAGCCUGAUGCAGCAACGCCGCGUGCGGGAUGACGGCCUUCGGGUUGUAAACCGCUUUCGCCUGUGACGAAGCGUGAGUGACGGUAAUGGGUAAAGAAGCACCGGCUAACUACGUG
rnacentral:rRNA from 1 species